GGAGAGAUGCCUGAGUGGCCGAAAGGAACGGUUUGCUAAACCGUCGUAGGGAUCAAACCCUACCGCGGGUUCGAAUCCCGCUCUCUCCGCCA
rnacentral:tRNA from 1 species